rnacentral:misc_RNA from 1 species
GUUGCCGUACUCUUCCUCUCCCCCAGAUAUCUUCUUUGCAGGAGCGAUCCGGGAGUCAAUUUUGCUAUCAUGUUGGUUUACACCGACCUUCUCUCUGGUGAUGAGCUUCUCUCGGAUUCGUUUCCAUACAAGGAAAUCGAGAAUGGAAUGAUUUGGGAAGUCGAUGGAAAGUGGGUCGUUCAAGGAGCGAUUGAUGUGGAUAUUGGUGCUAAUCCUUCUGCUGAAGGUGCCGGUGAGGACGAAGGUGUUGAUGAUCAGGCUGUGAAGGUGGUCGACAUUGUUGACACUUUCCGGCUUCAGGAGCAACCUCCUUUGGACAAGAAGUUGUUCAUUGCAUACAUUAAGAAGUAUAUCAAAUUACUGACACCUAAGCUGGAAGGGGAGAAACAAGAGGCAUUUAAGAAGAACAUUGAGGGAGCAACUAAGUAUCUGCUUGCAAAGCUCAAGGACUUGCAAUUCUUCGUUGGGGAGAGUAUGGCUGACGAUUGCUCUAUCGUAUUUGCAUACUACAAGGAAGGAGCUACUGAACCAACAUUUUUAUACCUUGCCCCAGGUUUGAAGGAAGUCAAGUGCUGAAAGAACAAAACUUUGAAGCAGAAUGCUUCAUGUAGCAUUAUUAGUUUCUACUAUAUUUGCCUUUUUCUCAUGACAUUUGAAUUUGGAUGGUUUGGGCUGUUUUUGUUUUGGUUUAUUUUGGGUUUCCUUGUUUUGACCUUGUUUACUGGGAGAUGUUCUGGUGAGUGCAAAAGUUUACUCUAUUUUUAUGCCUAAUGAAUCUCUAUUUUU